rnacentral:rRNA from 1 species
CCUACGGGUGGCAGCAGUGAGGAAUAUUGGUCAAUGGACGAGAGUCUGAACCAGCCAAGUAGCGUGAAGGAUGACUGCCCUAUGGGUUGUAAACUUCUUUUAUAUGGGAAUAAAAUGUUCCACGUGUGGGAUUUUGUAUGUACCAUAUGAAUAAGGAUCGGCUAACUCCGUGCCAGCAGCCGCGGUAAUACGGAGGAUCCGAGCGUUAUCCGGAUUUAUUGGGUUUAAAGGGAGCGUAGGUGGAUUGUUAAGUCAGUUGCGAAAGUUUGCGGCUCAACCGUAAAAUUGCAGUUGAAACUGGUAGUCUUGAGUACAGUAGAGGUGGGCGGAAUUCGUGGUGUAGCGGUGAAAUGCUUAGAUAUCACGAAGAACUCCGAUUGCGAAGGCAGCUCACUGGACUGCAACUGACACUGAGGCUCGAAAGUGUGGGUAUCAAACAGGAUUAGGUACCCGAGUAGUC